rnacentral:rRNA from 1 species
UACGUAGGGUGCAAGCGUUAAUCGGAAUUACUGGGCGUAAAGCGUGCGCAGGCGGCUUUGCAAGACAGAUGUGAAAUCCCCGGGCUCAACCUGGGAACUGCAUUUGUGACUGCAUGGCUAGAGUGCGGCAGAGGGGAUGGAAUCCGCGUGUAGCAGUGAAAUGCGUGAGAUAUGCGGAGGAACACCGAUGGCGAAGGCAAUCCCUGGGCCUGCACUGACGCUCGAUGACACGAAAGCCGUGGGGAGC